GAGCAUAUGUGGGGUGGCCAGUCCUCUUCUGGCUGUGCCGGGUGGAGAUUAUAACAGAACACGGCCAAGAUGUUCAAAUGUUCAUAAAUGAUCAGCAUGUUCGAAUAAUAAGAAGGCAGAACAGUUGAAACUGGAGCAGCAGCACGGCCAGGUGGACUGGGGACAGCAAGGAGUCAUCAUGUCAGGUAAUCCUGGGGCAUGGUCCUAGGGCUCAGGUCCUCCGAGAGAGAGAAGGAGAGAAUUAGAGAACGCACACUUAGAUUCACACAGGACACCGAAUAGGACGGGAGAAGUACUCCAGAUAUAACAAACUGACCCCAGCCCCCGACACAUAAACUACUGCAGCAUAAAUACUGGAGGCUGAGACAGGAGGGGUCAGGAGACACUGUGGACCCAUCCGAGGACACCCCCGGACAGGGCCAAACAGGAAGGAUAUAACCCCACCCACUUUGCCAAAGCACAGCCCCCACACCACUAGAGGGAUAUCUUCAACCACCAACUUACCAUCCUGAGACAGGGCCGAGUAUAGCCCACAAAGUAAUAAAAAUGUCUUUUAAAGUAUAAAUACCCUUCUAAGACCACUGUCUUUCUGGAUGUUUUAAAAGGUUUGCAAAUAGUUCUUUCUGCAAGGAAUGUGAAUUGAAAGGGACAUGGUAAUUCCUAUGUAGGUGACGUAGUUUCUCCACUGGUACAAUGUGUGGUAGUUGCACACCUCCCUGCUGAAUUAUGUAGAGCUGAUUUGGCCCAGUUGACUUUUUAAUUUUUUAAAUUAUUUUUUAAAUUUUCUUUUGUGGACAAACCACAUUUUCACAUAGGCUUUGUGCUAGCAGUUUAAAAGAGAGAGAGCAAAUAGCAUACGGACAGCCUGGUUGAAGUCCUAGUUUUUAAUGGUUAGUGCCAGUAGAUUGCAGAGGGGUUCACAUACAGUUCAGAGGUAAAUUAUAAUGUAAACAUCUAGGCCAAAAACAAAACAUGUGCCUUCCUGCUUUUGUGUUAUCCACCCUCUGGUAUCUUUCAAUACUCAUGCUAAUAUAUAUAUAUAUAUAUAUAUAUAUAUAUAACACAGUAAAUACUAUGUUAUGGUUCACUCUUAGUUUUCCUUAUCUCCACUCUGCUUCUGUGGAAUGUCCUUGUUGAUCCUCUUGGUUAUCUUGAUCCAUCCACCUGUCCAUCCGCUUUCCUUGUUAGUCAGUCCUGACCCCUUCAUCGCGUAGUUUUUUCCUGUAAUCUAAUUUAAUGACUGAAGAAGCAGAAUUUUCUGCCAGGUCCCUUCUAGUAGGGUACAACAGACUCGUUAAAACUUCGACCACACGCCCUCUAGACGGACUACAUGCCCUCUAUCGAAUCAAAACGAAAGUGAUCAAAUAAUGCUAGACAUUUUAUGGAAUAUAUCAUACCUAGUUUGUGACAAACUGUGAAUUAGUUAUUCAUUUGUACUUUUUUAAAAUGGCUUUUGGAUGUCUGAAUGUGUGAAUAUAAAGUCAACUUACCCUCGGUCUUUAUCUCUGGGUGGAGGGCGCACAGGCUGCAAAGCAGCUUCCAGCGUUUCUACGUGAAUAUAAUAAAUCAGUGUCUCGUAUAUUAAGUUACUGACAAACAAGUUUCGCUUUCUCUUAAAUACUUACCGUGAUCCAGUCGUGGUGGUUUCGCAAGCCAAUUUAACCGUUUCCGAAGUUACUGCUAUACGAUGUAAAAGUUGGGAUUAAACCAUUUGAAAAAUAAAGCAAAAGAGAAAAUGUAUAUAUUUUUUAAAACAUUCUCUGUCGCCGUCGGAGCAUGGGCCAGUGUAUGCGCUUUCCCCAGUGAUUGACCCGAUGCGCUCGACCAUUUGGGAGACCUCCGACGUGCCCCCCUCCCGGUGCCUUAAUGCUGCGAUUAUGUAGGGCCAUUCUUUUCCCUUGCAGUUUAAGGUCAGACAAUUUCUUUCUCACAUCAGCCACAGUUCUGUCUUGCUGCCCCCCCUCGUUCACUGCAGCUCCCACGCUACCUGUUGUGGUUUUGGAAUGUCUGAUGAAUGGCUGUUGAAUGUGU
ensembl:lncRNA